rnacentral:rRNA from 1 species
CGGCGGACGGGUGAGUAAUGUAUGGGGAUCUGCCUGAUGGCGGGGGAUAACUACUGGAAACGGUAGCUAAUACCGCAUAAUGUCUACGGACCAAAGCGGGGGACCUCCGGGCCUCGCGCCAUCAGAUGAACCCGUAUGGGAUUAGCUAGUAGGUGAGGUAACGGCUUACCUAGGCGACGAUCCCUAGCUGGUCUGAGAGGGUGAUCGGCCACACUGGGACUGAGACACGGCCCAG